rnacentral:lncRNA from 1 species
GAGAGCACCGCGGCUACCUGGCUUCCCUGAGUCCCGGCUGCCGGGAACGGGCGCGGGGGUGAAUAGUAAGUGGCAGCACUGUGGAAUGGGGAACAGAUGGAAGAAUGAGCAGCUGGGAGGCACACUCUUGCAAAAACCCAGAGACGGGGUCUUCCCAUGUUAUCCAGGCUGGUCUCAAACUCCGGGGUUCAAGCGUUCCUCUUGCCUCGGCCUCCAAAAGUGCAGUGAUUACAGGCAUGAGCCACAGCACCUGGCCUAUAUUUCAUCAUUUUUAAAAGGUAAAGAGAGAGAGAAAGGCUACUAGCAUCAGUAAUGAGGAGGGUGCUGGCACAUUUAUAGGAGCACUGUUUGCUGAUGCCUGAAAUGGCUCUAAUGGCACACAAUCUUUCAUUCUGCAAUAAGAAACAAACGCUUAAAAUUGAAGUGCCUCCUUAAAUUAAAACAACAAAGUCAUUUUCUCAAAAAUGUAAUGAAUCACAACAUUUUAGAACUGGAAACGUGCUUGCUGGUCACCUCAGC